CGCUCUUCGCCGCCUCUAUCGCCACCUCCUUCUCCGCCUCAAUCUCCCCUCUCGUCGGCUUCUCCUUCCUCCUCGACGGCCUCAUCGCCCCGAUCUUCGAAGGAUCAAGCAUGAUCGUCUCAGGUGGAAGCUUAUCAAGAAGCAAAUGAACUUCCUUCUCCCUCCUCUGCUUCGACGUCUCAAACGGAUUAGCCACCCAAGAGUCGAAGUUAGGCUCCCCAGACCCUGGAAUGAGGACGCUCGACCAUCCCAUCGAGUGGCCGAUCCCGAGAACAUCCUCAUACGGUCUGAACAUAACCUUCUCCACCUGGUAGCCUUUCACCAUCGGGUGACUCAUGUAUCUACUAUGGCCGCCACCACUCGAGUCUCCCAAAACUUGAACAAACGAUCCGGUUCCAGCCGCUAGCAACCCUUUCUGGCUGAAACUCAGCGUCUUGGCGUGGAAACCGUGGAUGGUCUGAACCUCCUCGAACUUGCGAAGGUCCCAGAUCUUGACUUUGCGCUCUUUACCAGACGUGGCCAUGAGAUGACCGUUCGGAUGAAAGGCAACAGCAGAGACCGGUCCAGGGUGGCACUGCAUUUGGACCAGAGGUGCUUGGCUGGUGGGUUUCCACAUCGUGACGGUUCCACCGGAAUGUCCCAAGGCGACAACGCCGUUGUAGGGAUUCACUUCCAUUACGUCUGUUCUGCCUUUGCCUGUACGGAUGCUAGCCACCAUGUCGCCGUAGGUAACGUCUUGGUAGUGUAGCUGACCGAUUUUGUUUAUUGAUGCGAGGAGGAAAUGGUUCUUUAGGAACCGGAGUCUGGCUACUGGACCACGCUCCUGAAGUUAGGCAAGAACAGGUGUAAGUUUCAUUAUUUGAUCCAUAUAGUUGUAUAUCAACAAAAAAAAGACAGUAAGCCUCACCUUCAGACAAUGGAGCUCAGUUCCAUCUCUCGCGUAAAUAUAAGAAUACCUGUAAGAAAACAAAGAGUCAAAAUAUUAGUCCAAGUACCCUCCAAGACACAAGGAGGCAUAAGGAUAUCCCCUCUCGUCGGCUUCUCCUUCCUCCUCGACGGCCUCAUCGCCCCGAUCUUCGAAGGAUCAAGCAUGAUCGUCUCAGGUGGAAGCUUAUCAAGAAGCAAAUGAACUUCCUUCUCCCUCCUCUGCUUCGACGUCUCAAACGGAUUAGCCACCCAAGAGUCGAAGUUAGGCUCCCCAGACCCUGGAAUGAGGACGCUCGACCAUCCCAUCGAGUGGCCGAUCCCGAGAACAUCCUCAUACGGUCUGAACAUAACCUUCUCCACCUGGUAGCCUUUCACCAUCGGGUGACUCAUGUAUCUACUAUGGCCGCCACCACUCGAGUCUCCCAAAACUUGAACAAACGAUCCGGUUCCAGCCGCUAGCAACCCUUUCUGGCUGAAACUCAGCGUCUUGGCGUGGAAACCGUGGAUGGUCUGAACCUCCUCGAACUUGCGAAGGUCCCAGAUCUUGACUUUGCGCUCUUUACCAGACGUGGCCAUGAGAUGACCGUUCGGAUGAAAGGCAACAGCAGAGACCGGUCCAGGGUGGCACUGCAUUUGGACCAGAGGUGCUUGGCUGGUGGGUUUCCACAUCGUGACGGUUCCACCGGAAUGUCCCAAGGCGACAACGCCGUUGUAGGGAUUCACUUCCAUUACGUCUGUUCUGCCUUUGCCUGUACGGAUGCUAGCCACCAUGUCGCCGUAGGUAACGUCUUGGUAGUGGAGCUGGCCGAUUUUGUUUACUGAUGCGAGGAGGAAAUGGUUUUUUAGGAACCGGAGUCUGGCAACUGGACCACGCUCCUGAAGUUAACCAAGAACAGGCAUAAGUUUCAUUAUUUGAUCCAUAGAGUUUUUAUUCAGUAAAACUCACCUUCAGACAAUGGAGUUCAGUUCCAUCCCUCGCGUAAAUAUAAGAAUACCUGUAAGAAAACAAAGAGUCAAAAUAUUAGUCCAAGUACCCUCCAAGACACAAGGAGGCAUAAGGAUAGAGAAGGUGAUGUUAACUACAUACUUCUUCUGGGCAGCUGCAAAGAACUGGUCAUUGUGCAGGAAGGCAACAUCACGUACUGUUUCUCUUACCUGCAGAUAACAUCAACAACUUCUGUCAAGAACUAAAUCAUAAGCUUACAUAAAGCUAUUCUGAAACUAAAAAAAAAACUCACAUGUAUCUCUUUGAUCAAGUUCAUAUUCAUCAUGUCUACAAGAGCAAGGUGGCCUUUGCGACCACCAGCUAGCAUAUGUCGACCACUUGCAGUAAAAUCAAGUUUGUAAGGACCAAAAUCUACAUAUAUAUUCACCGGUAUCAGUAAAAUAGAUCAGAAACACACAUAACAAAGAGAGUAUAUUGUCACACAGAUUAACCAAACUACAAAUUAUAUAUACAUAACAUGUGAUAGAAGAAGCUAUUGAGCAUUAUACCUGGGAGGACUAUGUCAUAUUGGUUUCUUGAGCUCAAUAAAUCUACUUCUUUGGCUAUAUCCGUCUGCUUGAUCCUCCAAGUCUUCUCUAAACCCUCAGUCUCCAAGUACCCUGCCGAAGCCGGCAAGAGCCACUACAUAAAUAAACACAAACCAGAUAACAAGACAGUAAUUAAUAUUUCGAAACAAAGAAGAGAGGAAUCAAAGUGACUCAAGGAGUAAAACUUACCUUCUCAAUUUUAGCAGCAGCUUUUGCAGACUUGCCAUACAACUUCUCUCGUGAAGCAAGCUGAGUCUUUAGUUUCUUAUCUUUCAAUGACUGCAUAAACAUGAAAAAAAAACACUCAACUUUUACAUUCUCCCAAACCAAAAGCACAAUUAUUAAAAGUAUUAUGUAUAUAUAUACCUCUAAGUUAGCACCUUCUCCUCUAAGAUACUUCUUUUCUUUAGCCUCCAACUCAACAUCGAUCUCCUGCGUACAAAUUUGAAGCAAAGGUUUUAACUUUAUCGAAACCCACAAACAAUAAAGUGUUUUGAGACUCUAAAGGUAGGUAGUUACCUGCUCAUCAGGAGGCAGGACCUUCUCCAUGAGAUUGUUAUCCUCUAAAGCAACCUCCAUCUUGAUACUUGCAAGUACUCCUUAUAACCUAAACCUAAAUUUAGAUUGUUAUGCAUUCCGAUUGAAUCCUGAAUCAGCUACGAGCUAGGAGGAUUGAGACAAACGUAAGAAAAGAUUGAAACUUUAAAUUAGAUUCACCUGAGAUUAGAGAAGGUGGCGAGGAAGCAGAAGAACACACGACGGUGAAGCUUUGAGUUUUAAAGGAGACGGCGUGAAUUAGGGUUUAGCAGAAAAUUGUGUUAAUGGGCGAGAGAGACACUGAGAGCUCCGACAACGAUCCUUUUGCUGACUAGGUUUGAGGGUUUUGUAAUUUUUUAAGGGUUUUAACUUUUAACAAAACAAAAUAAAAAGGAUCCUUUGAGUGAGCCUCGAUAACGCGCGAUUGGGCCUGGUCUGAAUGAAACCUAUUGUAUUUGUAUACAAAACAACUUUCAUAUUUGCUUUUAGCAAAAGAAAAUUAUAUUUUUGUAUAUAAAUAUUUGUGUAUGGAAACAAAUUUUUAUUUUUUAUAUCUUUUUGUAUAGCUUAGCUUUAAUGUUUUGACCCAUUUCUUGAAAGUGAUCCCGUAACGGACCAUCCUGUACUUGGAGCUGUAGGACAUAUUUUGUUUUGUUAUUAUUAUUUAAAAAAAUUUCUUGUAAACUAGCGGCUAGCGCAAAAGAACAUUGGAUUCCAAUUCCGUAAUUUUCAGGAUUAGUCUUGUUUAUUAUCCCUUGUCUAUUAAAAGAAAAAUAUUACAAGUCAUCAUGAAAAUCAAUUUUAAAAUCCUUAGAAAAAUAUGUUGGUUCAUCUAAACAUGUAGUAUAUUUUUCAUUAACCUAAUCAUAUAAUUUAUUAUUCAUAUAAAAAUAUUCUUCGUUGUUUCCUUAAAUAGAACAUACGGAAUUACCUAAUCUGAUCAAAAUAUAUAUAUGAUAAUUAAUAAUUUUUAAAUAAUAAAGAUUUGAUAAUAAUUUAUACACCCUCUGUCAUUUUCGCUUUAUAUUAAUAGUAUUAAAAUAAAUUAUAUAAUAAAAUUAACCAAAUAAUAAAAAUUUCACUUUUUGUAUAUAUGUUAUAUUUUAAAUUUUUAAAAACGAAUAUAAACUAUAAACUUUAAAAAAUCUCACUUUGAAAAUUUGUGAUCAAUGGUUUAAUAUUUAUUUAAAACAAGAUACAAAUGUUCAUAAAUUAUAUGGAUAAGAUGUCUUAUUUAAUAAAUAUUAGAUUAAAUAUAAAUAUAUAUAUAUAUAUCAUUUAAAUUAAAUAAUAUAUUAUAUAAAAUGCAGAAAUAUUUAAAUUUCAUUUUUAUUGAACAGAUACUAAGAAUUUAAUAUUUUAGUUUCAAAAUUUUCAUUGAAUUUGUAAAAAAUGAUUAUAAAUUAAUAAAAAAUAUUAAAAGUUUCAUAUUGAAAUGAUUGUAAAUAACAAUAUAUAAGAUAAAAAUUAUUAUUUAGAUUUAUUUACCAUAAAAUGAUUGUAAAUAACAAUGAUUAUUUUGAUUUAUAUGUCUGCACCAAUUUAAUUAUAUAUGUAAUAACACUACAAGAAAACAUAUUUUUUACUAGGGCAGUAUUCGUUGUAAACUCGUCGUAAACGGGGUGUUACGACGAAUUAACGUCGAAAGACGUUUCGUUGUUAAACGUCCGUCGUAACGGAGGUUUCGUCGUAAACGACUCGUUACGUUUACGACGAAAUAUAUUCCUCGUAAAGCGGAGGGAAAGGAUUCGUCGUAAACGACACGUAAGCUUUCGUCGUAAAGCACACGUAAUUGUUUCGAUGUAAAGCACACGUAAAUACUUUCGUUGUAAAUCACUCGUAAACAUUUCGAUGUAAAAUCCUCGUAAAUAUUUCGAUGUUAAUCACUCGUAAACAUUCGAUGUAAACUCCAUGUAAUGUUUACGAGGAGUUUACAUCGUUUCUUAUUAUAUUAUUAUUAAUUAGUAUAUAAUAGAUUUUAAUUUAUAUUUAAUAUUCAGAAUUUAAAAUAAUUUAAAUUUUAAAACGAAAUAUGAAAUUGGAAAACAUAUUUUAAAAAGUCAUACAAUAAUAUUUAAAUUCAUAAUACAAAAAAAAAAAAAAAACUACAUAUUGUCGAAGUAGUUGGUGGGGUUGCUCGGCUGUUGACGGGUUGGAUCGGACUCUUGGGGAUCUCGUGGUGGCAUUCCAAGAGCGGCUCGUCUCUCACUCAACAUUCUCUGCAUAACCGGGUUUCCCACGGCCAUCACGUCUAGCAAAUCCUCAAGAGAGUCUAAACGAACCUGCUGGCUAUCCAUUCGAGCCUUCAUCUGAGCAGUCUCUUCAUCCCGUCUCGAAGUGUAUGACGAAGUUGCCCUUGCAACUUCGUUAACAGAGCCUAUACCGACUAUCCGUCCCUUCUUUUUAGGAGCCACCUAUAAAAUCAAAACAUAUAUUAAUAUAGUUAAUUAUGUUAAAAUAUUUAAAAUAAUGUAAACAAAAAUUUUAAGUUACCUCUUCGAAGAUUCUGUCGACCUCUUCGGUGGACAAUGUGACUGGUAAUCCAUCGGGAGACUCCUGGGUUAGUUGCGUCUCCCGUUCUUCAAUCCGACCAGCCACUGUUCGGAAGAGUUUCUCAGAUGCAGGAUCCACAAAAACUCCGUCGGAUGUGGCGUGAGUCAUCUUGAAUAGGUCAGACAGAGAAGGUAAGACUCCCGUCUUCUCGAACUACAAAAAAAAAUUAAAUUAAAUAUUAUAAAUUAUAUUAAUUGAAUAUUUUAAAAUAUAUAUUUAAAACAAAACUUACAGCUUCUAGACGGACUCCUGCAUGAGGUUUUUGUCCGGUUCUGUGAAGCAUGGGCAAAUGACCAUCUUUAUCCUUCGUCCUUCGAGAAGCCGAGCACGAAUUGGCCUUUUUGAUCGAAGAGGGGUGCUCCCAAUAGGCGAUGAGGCCAUCCCACACAUCCGUCGUGAGCUCAGUGGGCUUUCCCUCAUACCCGUAGAUCUCCCACUUGUCCUUCCAAUCAGAGACUGUGUUGCAGAGGCGUAUCUUUGCCUUUGCAACGAAUUCCGCCUUCACCCUCUCGGUGAUUCCCAAAGACCAAUGCCACUUUUGCUGAAACAUAAAAAUUUUUAAAAAAUUACAAUUAAUAAUAAAUAUUAAUAUAUAUAUAUAUAUAUUUAAAAGUGAAAAUUUAAUUAAAUUUAAAAAUCUUACCGCAAAACAUUUAAACCACGUGAUCUUAACGUGAUUUGGUGUCUUGCUCCAGUUCGGGUAUGCCCCGUCGUAGUAACCCUUAAUCGUCGCCGAAACGCUCCGGCUAACACGGUUGUUAGCCCCAAACCUAAAAAAAAACAAUUUAACCGUUAGAAAAUAAAAAUUAAUUAAAUUUUAAAGUAAUAAAAAUUAAUAACUUACCAAUAAGUUCCUCGGGGUCUAUCGGGGUCUAGAACAUCCAAACCCUCCCGUCCAGGCUGGGCAAGCAAAUCCUCCACCGUAUAUCUCGCGAAGGGAGCAUAUGAAGGCACACGCAAAUCCGGAUGAACUGCACCUUCUGGGACAGGCUCAGGUGCAGCCGCUGGAGGAGGAGGUGGAGGCAUCUGCGGUGGAAGAGGAGGACUCGAAAAAACUCUCUGAGAAGUCUGAGAGUCUGGAACUGCAUCGGAAGACGAUGGACCGGAAGAAGAUGUACCGGAACCAUCGCCAAACAACUGGGCAUAAGUAGGUGCUGCUGGUUUCCUUCUAGGAGCCAUCUAAAAAAAAAUUAAAUAAAUUUAAUCAAUUAUAACGACAUAAUUAAAAAAUUAUUCUGUUUCCUAACUAAUCACCUAAACUAUAGUAUUCCGUCAUCUAACUAAUCACCUAAACUAAUUAUCUAACUAAUCACCUAAACUAACUUAAAAAAAAAAAAAAGGAGGAAAGAGAGUGUACCUUAGAGGGAGAGGAGAGGAGUUAGGGAGGAAUGAACGAGGAAGCAUCGUCUCGGCGUCUCAAAAUAUAGAAAAGGAUUCGUCGUAAACGCGACGUAAUAUUACGACGAAGUUACCAGGCCCGCGUUUUUUCAUUUACGACGAAGUUACCAGGCCCGCGUUUUUCGGUUUACGACGAAAUUACGUCGAAACGUCGGUUUACGAGAAUUUACCAGGCCCUUGUUUACGACGAAGUUACCAGGCCCGCUUUUUUCCAUUUAUGACGAAGUUACCAGGCCCGCGUUUUUCGAUUUACGACGAAAUUACGUCGAAACGUCGGUUUACGACGAAUUUACCAGGCCCUUGUUUACGAUGAAGUUACGAGGCCCGCAUUUUUCUAUUUACGACGAAAUUACGUGGAAUAGAUACAUUUACGACGAUUUUACAACGGUUAACCCUAAACACCGAGAAUGAAAUCCCUAAACCCCAAAGUCACAUAUCAUCUAACAUCAUAUCUCUUCUCUACUACUUUGUGCUCUUUCUCCAACUUAAACUCUAAAACCCUAAAACUCCAAAUAAUUUUUUAAAAACUAAAGAAAUACAUAUUAUAUAAAACAACAUUUGUUACACAUACAUUAGGAUGGUAAAAAAACAAUAUUUCUUUAAACAUACAUUACAAUAGAGAAAUACAACAUUUGUUACAUAUAUUACAUCACUCUAAAUCGUUUUCGUUCUCAUCAAUAUUACAUCACUCUAAAUCGUUUUCGUUCUCAUCAUUAUCAUUACAAUCAUCAUCGUCGCUUCUCUCGAACUCGUCUUCACGUGCUUCAUCUGUCGCAUCUUCGGGAAUAUCUUCAUAUUGAAAGUUUUGCGGGUCGAUCAAAAGGAUUUCAUCAGUUGGUUGUUCUGGUACCUCAACUUCAUUGAUAGCGUCUUCUUCUUGCAAGGGCGGUUCUUCUCCAGCGACAAUGCGUCCACGAGGUGUAAUUUUGAUAGCAGCUAACCAGUUUAUCCCGGAAGUUCGAAGCCGAGGAUAAGGAAGGAAGCUUACUUGCUCGGCUUGUGAAGCUAAAAUGAAAGGCUCAAAUUUGUUGUAUCUUCUCCCAAAAUUGACAUCCACAACACCAAAUUUGUUAUACCGAAUCCCUCGGUUCACAACAGGAUCGAACCAUUCACAUUUGAAGAGGACGCAUUUUAGCUUCAAUAACCCCGGAAAUUCCACUUCAAUAAUCUCCUGCAAGAUCCCGUAAAAGUCCGUUUCACCUUUCACACAUAUUCCGUAGUUACUCGUUGCCCGAUGUCUCCCAUACUCGUAUGUGUGAAAGGUAAAUCCUCGUGUGAAAUACAUAGGUGAUGUGGUGACCUUUGCAACUGGACCUUGAACCAAUUCGUGAAACCAUACGGGAUAAUAAGGAUCGUCAUAAUCAACCUGCAAAAAGCAGUUAUUCUUAAUUAAUAUUGAAGUAUCAAAACACUUACUUAAUUAAUCAAUGUAUGAGAUAUAUUACGUACCUGUGAUUUUAACCACUUGACAAAGUGCUUAUCUUUACGUGUGUCCACAUCAGUUGCAGAUAUUCCUGGUAUUGCUUCUUCAACUUGAGAUACAAACAUGCUGCAAAUUAAACAAAUAAUCAAGUCAUACAUAAUUAACUGCAAUUCAUAUAAUUAACAUUCACAAAAAUAUUUACCUUUCAAAGUAACGGGUCACUGCAUCCUCGCAGUUGAGCAGAAUAUAAGUGUGGGCACUAUGUUUAUCCUCUUCACAUGACCACCAUACUUCUUUCGUUUUACCACCAAACCGUGCAAUUUCGCAGAAAAUGUCAGGAACACCAUCAAUUGGAUAUGAUGUCGGUACUCCACCAUCAUCAUAUCUUCUAGGAACUCUUUUCCUCGUACGAACAGUUGGAGCAAAGUAGUAUGAUGUGAAGUUAGAUGUUUCGGCUGUCAAACUCCCCGCAACUAUUGAACCUUCCACCUUUGCAAGAUUUCUUGCUUUCCCCUUCAAAUGUUUCAUCUGUCGCUCAUACGGAUACAUCCAUCCGUUGUGAACAGGUCCACGAAGCAAUGCUUCAUACGGUAGGUGGACAACUAGAUGCUCCAUGACGUCAAAAAAUGAAGGAGGAAAUAUCUUCUCCAGGUUGCACAAUAUGAUCGGAAUGUUAUGAUGAAGUUGUUCGAUGACUUCUUCCUUGAACGUACGUGUGCUGAGAUCUCUGAAAAAAGCGCCGAUGGCUGUAUAUUGCAAAAGUAAUCAAAUUAAUAACAUUUCAUAACAUAUGUAUAUAUAUUAACGUUUUAUAAUUACCUGCAAGUGCUUCAUGGACAUUUGCUGGAAGGAGCUCGGCAAAAGCAAAUGGAAGUAGUCGUUGCAUAAACACAUGACAAUCAUGACUCUUCAUUCCGGAGAACUUUUGACCUCGUUCAACACAUCUUGACAGAUUUGAAACAUAACCAUCAGGAAACUUAACUUCUGAUGCAACCCAGUCAAACAAGGUUGUUUUGGCUUCUGAUGACAACCGGAAGAUGGGAACAGGAACGUUUCCAUUGCUCUUGAUAUGUAACUCACUUCUUGAGCAAAUAUCAGGUAAGUCCAUCCUUGACUUUUUGUUAUCUUUUGUCUUCCCAGGGACGUUAAGUAAUGUAUUCAUGAUGUUCUCAAAAAAGUUCUUCUCAAUAUGCAUGACAUCCAGAUUGUGGCGUAAGAGAAGAUCCUUCCAAUAGGGUAGCUCCCAAAAUAUACUCUUCUUAUGCCAAUUGUGAGACACACCAUACCCAUCAGGCAUAUUUCCAGGAACAUGCCAAUUUCCUCCAACUUUAACUGUUUCCUGAGCUCCGUAAUAAUCAAUGUCUGCUUCGAUCUGCUGGCCGGUGAGAUAUGGAGGAGGACCGUCUCUGACAAUUUUUUUGUGCCGAAACAAUGUCUUAUUUCUUCUGUACGGAUGGGCAAGUGGAAGAAAGCGACGAUGACAGUCAAACCAACAACUCUUCCUACCAUUCUUCAGUUGAAAAGCAUCCGUCGAUCCAAGACAAUAUGGACAAGAUAAUCUUCCAUGUGUUGUCCAGCCAGACAACAUCCCAUAAGCAGGGAAAUCACUUAUCGUCCACAGCAGAACUGCUCGCAUCGUAAAAUUGUUUUUCAAGGAACAAUCGUACGUCCUCACCCCUUCUGACCACAAUUGCUUUAGCUCUUCUAUCAACGGUUGAAGAAAAACAUCAAGAGACCGUUUUGGAUGCUUCGGCCCAGGGAUUAAUAUGGUCAAAAAUAGAAAUUCUUGUUCCAUGCACAUAUCCGGCGGUAAAUUGUACGGCGUAAGAAUGACUGGCCACAAAGAAUAUUGUCUACCAGACAUUCCAAAUGGACUAAAUCCAUCGGUGCAUAACCCAAGAUAGACAUUCCGAAUAUUUGUAGCAAAAUCUGCGUGUACCUUGUUGAAAUGUUUCCACGCUCUUGCGUCUGAUGGAUGUGCAACCUCACCAUCUCUCUGGACAUGUUCCGCAUGCCACCUCAUCGAUGCAGCAGUCCUCUCAGAUUGAUAUAAUCUUUUCAAUCUGUCUGUAAUUGGUAGGUACCACAUCCUUUGGUACGGUACCCUAUUCCUCCCACGGCCUUGCGGUUUGAAUCGUGGUUUUUUGCAGAAUCGACACUCUUCUAACUUGUCAUCUUCUUUCCAGUAGAUCAUGCAGUUGUCGAUGCAAACAUCAAUCAUCUCCGAAGGCAACCCAAGACUAUAAACCAAUUUCUGAAUCUCAUAAUAAGAUUCAGCAGACACGUUGUCUUCUGGCAAAUACUCUUUAAACAAAUCCGCCCAUGCAUCCAUGCAAUUCUCAGGUAAAUUAUGAUCCGUUUUAAUAUUCAUCAUCCUAGCUGCUAGAGACAAUUUAGAGAGACCUUCUCUACAACCAGUGUAGAUUGGUUGAUUUGCAGCAUCUAGCAUUUCAUAAAACCUUUUUGCAUCCAAAUUAGGUUCUUCUACAUUUCCAGUUCCAUCAGCUAUUGUUGUAGUUGUUUCUAAAAAUGCAUCACUAAUCAUAUCUUGAACCCUAUCAUGAUCUACCAUCUGCUCAUGAUCUUGAUGAUAAUUAUAUUCAUUAUGCAAAUGAUUCGGUUCUUCACUAUGAUGACCAUCCUCAAAAUUAUUAUUACUACUACUAGCUUCAUUUCCCCCAUAACCCUCUCCAUGUUGAUACCAAAUGUAGUACUGUGGUGUAAAUCCUCUGUUUACUAAAUGCUUCCAUACAGUUUCACUACGUGCAAAUUUUGAAUUCUUGCAUUUCCGACAGGGGCAGAACAUCUUACCGCUUUCCUGUGUGAUCGGUGUACAGCCCGCCUGGUGCAUGAAUGUCUCUAGCCCGCUCAGAAAUGCGUUCGUCACCCUCCCGUCGGAAUCUUUGUGCAAAUACAUUCAACUCCGUAACUCGUAAAUACUACCGCCACCGGCCAUUUUUUUCUUAGAUUUUUUUUUCAAAUCUUUUUUUUUGAUUUUUUUUUCGGAUUUUUUUUUCCGUUUGUGUGUUGUGAGGAAGAGAGUUGUGGGAAAUGACAUAUAUAUAGAGAAAUUUUCGAGUUGGGUAGUUGAAAUAUAACUACGAAUUUAAAAGGAAUAUUUUACAUGGAAUUUACAUCGUUUUAACAUAAUAUUUACAACGACUUUAUGACGAAAUUAGGUAAGUUAAAGCACAUUGAAUACACGUUUUCACCUAAAUAUAACGGUAACAUGUUUCGUUGUAAUGUCGAUGUAAUGAUUACGACGUAUUUCUCAUUCCACGUACAUUCGUCGUAAACUUACAUGGAUUUUACGACGAAAACAAUUCGUCGUAAAUUUACAUGGCGUUUACGACGAAAGUUGGAUUCCUCGUAACUGCGUUGUAAACACCAUGUAAAUUUACGACGAAAUAUUUUCGUCGUAAAUGUUCGUUGUUAUGGGCACGUUUUCUUGUAGUGUAGUCACUGACUACUCAAUAAUUUAAUAUAAAUAGAAAAUGCAAAUAAAUAAUAAUACAUAAAAUUGUAUAUAUAUAUAUACAUAUAUAUAUAUAUAUAACAUUCAUCUCGCGCAAGACGCAUGUCUUAAUCCAGUAAUUUGAUUACAUUUAGAACAUCUCCAAAUUUGAAGAUUCAUCUUUUUAUUUACAUUUUGAUUUUUAUAAUUAAUUACACGUCACAUUUAUGAUUCUUAAGUAUUUUUUCAUUUAUCAUUUAAUCUUUAAAACUUUUUUUAUAUCGUAAUUAUUUCAAAUUUAUUUUUAUAAAUUCAAAUUUUACACAUAAAAUUAAAUGAAAAUUUUAAAAUAAAAUUUAUAAUUUUUUAAAACUAAUUACUUAGAGCAUCUUCGUCCCAACUGCAUAAUUUACUACAAAAUAGAGUGAAAAUGCAGUCAUGAACAAACAAAAAAGCAUUACUCCAUUUAUAGAGUAUUGAUUUUUUUGUUUGUUCAUGAUAGCAUUUUCAACUCCAUUUUGUAGUAAAUUAUGCAGUGGAUUGGAGAUCCACUUAACAACAAGAAUAUGACAAAAAAUUUAAUUUUAAAAACUUUUUAAAAAUACAUAUGAAGACAUAAUUAUUACACAAAAUUAAAUAUUACAACACUAAUAGUCUAUUAAAUUUGCUAUGGAACCUUUAAAAUAUUUUCCAAAAACAAUUUGUGUGAUCAAAGAUGGAGCAUUACGGAAGUAAUCUUAACAAUUCUCAAUCAUGGCCUUUGCGGAUCGGAUCCAUAUAAUUUACAAAAAAAAACUCCAAAUAUUUUAUAUAUUAAUAUGGUAUUUUGCUUGUAGUUUUAUAUUUAGUUAUGUAUUUCUAUAUAUAAUUUUAUAUUUUAGUAUAAUAUUUUAUUAAUUAAUAUUACUGUAAUAUUUUUAUAUAAGUACUAAUUGUUUACAAAAUUUUUAUGGAUUUAUAUUAAUUAUGAUAAAUAUAAAUACCAUAAUGUAAAUUACAAAUAAUUUUGAAGUUAAAUUUGAAGUUUUGCUUCUGGAAAAGAAAACCUCGAAAUUUCAAAUAUAGAGUUUUGCAAACUCUAAAAUAGAAAGUCUUUUUGGAGAUGCUCUUAUAUAGUAUUAUCAAUACUUUCAUAAAUAUAAUGAAUUUACAUCCAAAUAUAAUCGUUUCCUAAUUUUCCUCAAAAUCUAACAUAACCGUUUUAAGAAGUUCCUAUGAAUAGAUUAUGAAAGUAACAAAUCUGAUUUUGAUAAUAAUAAAUAAAUCUGUGACCCGCAUAUGUUACUCGGAUAACCAAGUGGUUUUAGCCGAGUGAUAAAGAGAUUCCAGGUGGAACAUUCGUUUUGGGUUCGAUUUUCUUUGGUCCCUUAUAAAUGUUUUAAAUGACAAAAAAACUCGGAUUUCUAUCUGUAUCUUGGUGAUUAGUGAUUAAGCCUAGAAAGCUUUUGAAAUGACACCAAAAUUAUAUAAAAAGAAAAAGCCAGGACUCGGGCGGCCUAGCUCGUCUAGCAAUGAUAUAACACGUAACAACUAGUAUCAUAAUACAACCUACUUCGAUAACUUUCCUUGGUUAGAUAAUUAAUAGAGUAGAUAUACAUGUCAUUUUUAAGUUGUAUGAUCGAUACAAUCAUACAUCCGUUCAUCUCUAUGAUAGGGAGACAAUUGAAUAUGUUCCCUAAACAUCCAAGGGAGAGCCACCUCU
rnacentral:lncRNA from 1 species